rnacentral:rRNA from 1 species
CGCGUAGGCGGGAUGGCAAGUCGGUCGUGAAAUCCCUCGGCUCAACUGAGGAACGUCGAUCGAAACUGCCGUUCUUGAGGGUUGCAGAGGAGACUGGAAUUCCCGGUGUAGCGGUGAAAUGUGUAGAGAUCGGGAGGAACACCGGUGGCGAAGGCGGGUCUCUGGGCAAUUCCUGACGCUGAGGCGCGAAAGCGUGGGGAGCAAACGGGAUUAGAUACCCCGGUAGUCCACGCUGUAAACGAUGACGACUAGGUGUGGGGGGGGUUCAGUCCCUUCCGUGCCGCAGCUAACGCAUUAAGUCGUCCGCCUGGGGAGUACGGCCGCAAGGUUGAA